UACGAAGGGGGCUAGCGUUGUUCGGAAUUACUGGGCGUAAAGCGCACGUAGGCGGAUAUUUAAGUCAGGGGUGAAAUCCCGGGGCUCAACCCCGGAACUGCCUUUGAUACUGGGCAUCUAGAGUAUGGUAGAGGUGAGUGGAAUUCCGAGUGUAGAGGUGAAAUUCGUAGAUAUUCGGAAGAACACCAGUGGCGAAGGCGGCUCACUGGACCGUUGUUGACGCUGAGGUGCGAAAGCGUGGGGAGCAAACAGG
rnacentral:rRNA from 1 species